UUCAGCUUAAAACAAACAUUAUUGACAAGGGACUUUCCAAAAAAACAGCUGAUCUGCAUGCACUUGUUUAACCAGAGAUAUCAAUCGCCUUCACCUCAGGUUUCUUCUGCUCUUCUUUAGGAACAGUUACAGUGAGCACUCCAUCCUCCAUAGCUGCCUUAAUUUCCCCCAUCUUCGUAUUCUCCGGCAGCCUAAAUCUCCUUAAAAACUUGCCACUGCUCCUCUCCAUACGGUGCCACUGAUCAUUCUUCUCCUCUUGUUCUCUGCUCCUCUCACCGCUUAUCUGUAGUAUCCUUCCUUCUUCAACUUCGACUUUCACUUCCUCUUUCUUGAUCCCCGGCACGUCUACUUUGAAGAUGUGAUCUUGUGGGGUCUCUUUCCAAUCGAUUCUUGCAUUUGCGAAAGCAGAGGUUUCACGAGCUGAGGAGGGGGUGUUAGCGAUUGUGCUUGAAAUUGGGAAGCCUUCGAAUGGAUCCCAUAAGUCGAGGGAAAAUGGGUCGAAGAUGUUGCUCCUGCGACCAUCGAAGAAGCUUGGAAUCAGAGACAUCUUGGGGAAUUUGUUGUUUGAAGAAAGCAAAAGAUUGUAUUAUGAAGCUUGAGUUUUUCUUUGAUAGUAGUGUUUGAUUUGCUGAUAUAAAUUUGAGAAAAUGUUGUGCUAUUUAUAGGCGAUGAACCAAGAAACCUGUGUAAUUCCAAUAUAAUCAAGGAUGUUCACCAGAGAAUUCAACAAUAUUCUACAACUUCUUAUCCAAUUUGAGGCUAAUCCAGGAUGUUCUUUGGUUAAUUUUUAAUAGGAAAAAUAAGAGGCUUCUACAAUAUUCCAGAGAAUUUUUUUCUGAAGCGUUUAAGUCAUAAUUUCAGUAGUGCAUACAAAGGUAAAAUGACUCGGGAGGCUUUGUAAUUGACUCUGUUUGUUAGCUGAAUCCGUCCAACUCCCUCCACAAUUGUCAAUUGAACUCCUAAAUCUCCCGUGGUAAGCCCGGCCCAAAGUCAAGAUAUAAACAUAAUAAUGUAAAUUUAAAAAUAUAAUUUAUAUCAUAUAUUUUUUUACUUUAUAAUUAGUAUAAUCAGAUGGCAUAUUAAACAUAUCUUAUUGAUAAGUUUUCAUAAUUAGUAAAAUACUGAAUCACAUAAUUGGAUAAAUUUUUUUUAAAUCUAAUUUGUGAGGACGAAAAUAUUACCAGAGUAUUAUAAUAUAUCAAAAUGCUACAAGUAAUUCGAUAUUUUAUAAAAUAAUAUGAUUUAAAAUAUGUAAUAAUUAGGAUUCAAAGAAGAUCACAAUAGAAAAUAUUGAUAUUUUUAUAAAUUUGUGGGUACGUAAUUAUUUAGUUAUAUAUAGAAAUAAAUUAUAUUUAUUGAGUUUUAGUUUCUCUCGUGUGUGAUUUCAGUAGCAAGACUUUUACAACAUAUUCUUUUUCAUCUUAUAGAAUUAUCUGAAAUAAAAUAUUUCAAUGACUUCAAGAUUAUAUUAUAACAAUUAUAUCCUUAAUUUAGAGUCAUUAUAUAAAUUAACUUAAUAAUGAUCUAUAAGAAUAUUAAACAAUAAUUAAACUAACAUUAAUAGAUUACUCCAUUUGGUCGAUUUAGUUGUUAUGUAUAUUUUUAUAUGCCCCUUAAAAUAAUACCUAUUCACUCCAUUUUAAUUAUUUCUUUAUCUUUUUUCAUAUCCACCAAGAAUUAUAUUAUUUAUUAAGUUAUUUUAUGUAUUAUAUAUGUCUGGAGGGUCGAAUAUAAUAUUAGAAAAAUCUAUAAGGUAAUAGUUGAAAUCAUUAUAAAAUUUAAUUUUAUAUUAAGUUAUCUUGAAUAAUUUUUUUGAGUUAAAGAUAUUGUUGAAUUAAGAUAAAGGAAAUUUUAAUUAAAAGACAAUCUAGCAAGUGGCAAGAAGAAACCAAUUACAAAAUUUUAAAUCUAAUGAUCUUAACAAGAAAAAUAAGGGCAAAAAUAAAAAUAUAUUAAAAAAAUCACCAUCACUUGCUAUGUGUAAUAACCUUAUUUGACCAAAAAAAUAAAAUAUCAAAAAUGCCCUUGUGAAGACUAUCGAAAAUUGAUAUCCUCUCUUAUAUAUAGUAUAGUAGUAAUAUAUAUAUAUAUAUAUAUAUAUAUAUAUAUGAAGAAGCUUCAAGGUUUAAGUUGAAAAUCACCAAAAUAAAAAAAUUGUAUGGACUACAAUAGAUAAGAAAAAUAUCUUAGGAACACAAAAUCAAGGACUCGUACCAAUUACAAACAAGAUAGGAGUAGUAUUUGUUAUAUCUUGAGCAUUACCAGCCGAAGCUAUGGACUCAAAAUCUAUCACCCAAGACCCACAUCGUCACUUCGUUUGUUUCCUCCGAUCCAACAUUUAUAUGUGAUUAAGUUGCGUAGAGCGGCAGAGGUAAACCUUGCAUGGACCCUUACACUUUGUUUGGAUGGUGGUUUGCUAUGAUUUCAUAAUAUACGCUACAGUAUGAGAUGGUAUGGUAUUGUACUUUGGAUGGUUGGAAUAUACUAAAAUAUCCCUAUGAAAUUAUUUUAUUCAAUCACUUAUUCCAGGAACUAAGUAAUAUGAAUACCAGCUACAAAUUGUAUAUCUCAAAAUUAUUAUCCUUAUCUCACCAAUCAAACAAUCCAAAUUUUUUUUUAACUUAACAAUGCAUAUAUAUAUUUUUUCAAAAUUAUUAUCCUUAUCCCACCAAUCAAACAACCAACCCGAAGGUUUUCAUAAUUUGACAACGCAUAUAUAUAUAUAUCUUUUGCGAGGUGACGAUAUGAAAGCAGUAUUAGUCCUGUAUGUAAAGUGAACGGGCUGAUGAUUUCAGAAACUUCAUUUAAAUAGAGAAAUAAUACCGGAUAUUUUCAUACAUAUGCAAGGAUAACAAUUCCCAAAAUUCUAUAAAGUUCAUUAAGUGUUGCAAGUCGAAAUUGUUCUAAAUAUAUCCCGUAACAAACUAACAAUCCAUUGGCUACUAAUUUUACAUCGAAAAACCGUCAUAUGUAAAUCUCAAUACCAAGAUCAAAAUUUUAGCAAAAGAGUGAUCUCCAUAGGUUAAGGCUCCUUCAAACAAAGUUCAGAUUUACUAAAUUAACAAAGCACUACUCUUCUUAGUGAAAAAUCAUCACCCAAUCUAGAGACUAAUUUUUUUAAAAAAGUUUUCCUUCUACGCUUGUCUUUAGAUCAUUUAAAAAAGUGAAAACUAAUCAAAUCAGUUAUCUCAAGGAAUCAACACGCUUCUUUCCAUCAAAAAUUGUCUUUUAACUUCUCAUCACAAAUUAUCACCUUCUCGUUUUGACGACCCUACAAAGGUAACAUAUGGCUAAGUAUCAACCCAACUAUAUAUAGAUAGAUGGUAACCCCCAUAAAGAAAGAACAAGUAGAAAUGCACUUCAAACAGUGGAGUACAGUAGAAGAAAGCAUGGCCGCCUUUUUACGUAUCACCCAAUACGAAUUAUAAGUGCAAUGCAGAAUAUACGGUAUUAGUAAUACUUGCAUUAGUAAUGCUUAUAUUAAUUAGUUAUAUUGAUAUUGUUUCUUAUACAUUAUUUAAUUUGACAUGUUAAAAAUAAUAUAUCUUAUAUAAUUUAUAUAAAAGAAAUAUUUAUUUAUAAAACUAUCCUUCUUUGAUUUAUUACAUUUUUUUCAACAAAAUUCGUUUGCCAUCUCAAACAUAAUUAGUGUUGUUGAACUAGUAUAUAGAGGUUUAGGAUUAAUUGCAAGACCGUCGUCUUUACGCAUGAAAUGUUAUGCAGGCGGAUUAACAUAAUCGAAACAAAAAUAAAAUACAAGAUAUAGAAUAAAGGAAUAGUCUCAAUUUUUUUAUUUAAUUUUUUUAAAGACCCUCGAAGCAAAGCAAAGAUGCAGUUAUUUAAACCAACAAUUCAUUAUUGGAAAUUAAAAUGGUGGAAAAAGAUAUUUUAAUAUGUUUUGAAAAGAUUUACUGUUGCAAAUUAAAAUGGUGAAAAAAAAAUUGUGAAAUAUUUUGAGAGAAAAAUUGGAUAUAUUAAGGUCAUUUAAUAGGUUAAUGCAUGUCUUUAAAGUUUUUGUAUUACUAAUACAUAGGAAAUGGUGUGUAUUACUAAUACACAUCUCAAUAUACAAUAGAAUAUAUAUCUAAUGUUUGUAUUAGUUAUAUAUAGGCAAAAAGAUGUACCAAACAAGGUACUAGUAACACACAUUAACUAAUGCAUGCAUUAUAUUUUCCAAUAUGCUCUACCGAACGAUCCUGGUACAAAGAGAAGUUAUCCAUGAUUAACAAUACUGGAAUUAGCAAUGUAAAAAUUGCAGUGCUGAAAUUAUUUUUCAUCAAGUAUUUGAUUCAUUAUAUUAAAAAUUAGAUAUAUCAUGUAUUGUAUUUGAAUUUAAAGUUGUACAAAAUCUUCUUCAGAUUUAUAUCCUUAAAUUUCUGUAGAAUUUUUUUACUUUAUUUAACUAAUGGAAAAUGGUCAAAAGCCCUCCCCCAAACCUUUACCCCAAAUCCCAACUACGCACUCAACUUUUAAAUGUGACCUAUUACCCCCGGAACUAUUUUAAAGUAGAAUUAUUAUCCCCUGAAUUAUUUUAAAGUGAAAUUAUUACCCCCCUCCCUCCCCCUUCCCCAAAAACCCCCCUCCCCUCCCGAAAAUUGACAACCAGUCAUUUGAAAUGUGGUGUGAUACACGCGCUGCCACGUCAUUUUUUUAUUUACUCUAAAAAAGUUAAUUAUUUAACUUUAUUAUUUUUUUUCUUCCCCAUUUUUCAUUUUGCUCCAUUUUCUUCUUCAAUCAAUUUCAUCUUCUUGGGUCAAAUAUAGAAUUCUUGGGAAAAAAAAUGACGGAUUAAUGAAGUUCUUGAAUGACGGGUUAAUGAAGUUCUUGAAUGGGGUUUUAAUGAAGUUCUUGAACCUAAUUUCAUCUCUUUUUGCUCAAGAUCACCAUUAGUGGCGAAUUCUUCCCCAUUGUGGAAAUUCAAAGCUUUGAACUCGCCAUUAAUGAUGGAUCUUGAGUAAAAAUAGAGAAAAUCGAAAAAAUGGGUUGAACAUUAUACGUGGGUUAUGUUGGAAAUUAUGUAUGGCAUUGUGGAAAUUCGAAGCUUUGAGCUUGCCAUUAAUGGUGAUCUUGAGCAAAAAGAGAGGAAAUCGAAGUUGAAUUUUUUCAAGUUUUUUGAAUCGGAGUUCCCCAACUUCUUCAUUCAAGAAUUCAUUAAUCGGAGAAAUCUUAUUGUUUCCUUAGUUCAAGUGUUUCUUGGUUUCGAUUUCAGAGCAAAGAGAAUUUCUUGAUUUCGGAGAAAUCCAUUAAUGAGGAAGAUGAGAAACCCCAUUAAUGAGUUCUUAAAUUUUUGUUUUAAAAAAGAAAAGAAGAAGACAUGACGUGUCAAUUAAAAUUCAUUAAGAAAAAGUAAUAAUUAAAAUAUUUAUUAUAUUAUUAAAAAUAAUGACGUGACAAUAAAAAAUAAAGAAUUUAAAGUGAAAUGGGGUCAACUGACGCGCCCAUGGGCGAGUGUAGUCACGUCCAAUGACAGGUCAGCAAUUGGUGGUAAUAAAUUCGAUAAAAAUAAUUUUAGGGGGAUAAUAGGUCACUUUUAAAGGUUGAGUGCGUAGUUAAGAUUUCGACUAAAGGUUGGACGGUAAUAGACCAUUUUCUCUUUAACUAAUCAAAUUACUCACUUUUUAUGCGAUCUUAUAAAAAAGUUAAAAUAUAAAUAAUAAUUCUUACUCCGCUUAAUUAAUUAUUUACUUAUUUUUUAAAAAAUUGGGCCUAGUUGAUUUAAAAAAAAUUUAAACAGUAAAAAUAUAUUGUAUAAGAACAACAUGGAUUAUUGAUAAUGUAGUUUCAUAAUUUUAAAUUAUAUAUUUAUUGACAAUAAUCUACUCGUUUUAAAUCAGUCAGUCUAUAAAUUGAAUAAUUACAAAUAGAAUAAAUGUUAGCUUACGUUUGAAGCUAUCAAUCAACAUGAGAGAGAAAAUGACAUUUAGGUGCAAAUUAAAUAUGGUAUAACCAUUAAAUUUGAGGUUAGAUUUAAUAUGAAAAUAAAAGAAAGCUUUUAUUAAAAAAGUAGUUAAAUUAUUUAAUUCUCUUAUUUAUAUAUUAUUAAACAACGUAUAAAUAAUUUUAUGAUUUUUAAAGUAUAGAUAAUCUACUCUAUAGUGUAUAAGUGUGUAUAAGUUAUUCAUGUAUUAGCUGAAAUUAAAUUUAACUAGAACAAUCAAAUAUUAUAUUAGCUGAAAUUAAAUUUGAAUAGAACAAUCAAAUAUUAUAUUGAGAAAAUAGUCUAUUACCUCCAACCUUUAGUCGAAAUCCCAAUUACAUACUCAACCUUUUAAAGAUACCUAUUAUCCCCUUAAUCUAUUUUUUUUUCUAUAUUUAUUACUCCCUGACCUGUCAACAUAAACCAAGUAAUAAGACAUUCAUGCAUUUCAUGCGCCUGGCCCACACCUAAACAUAACAAAAUAUCUUUUUUCACAAUUUCAUUUUCAAUUUCCUCUCUCCUCUCUCUUCUCUCUAAACCUUUCAUCUUCCUCUCUCCUCUAUCUUCUCUCUAAACUGCGAUUUCAUCUAUUUUUUUGGGGGAAUUUUUGUUAUAAUUGAGAUAUUUUGGGUGUGAAUUUUCAAAGAAUCAUCUUGUUGCUGUUACAAGGUGUUUUUUUUUUCCGUAAACUGAAAAAAAUUGAAUUAGAAUUUUUAGCUAAUCUCCAAAUUUACAAAUUAAUUGAGUGAAAUUAACUGAUUCUUACUGUUAUGGCGUUGUCUCAGUGUUCGAUUAACAACAUAAUUCGUUCGUAAGUACAUGUUUUGUUGAUUGUUUAAGUGAGUUUAUUAGAAAUUAGCGCUUUUCUUCGAUUUGUUGUUAAUGUGAAAACUUAAAAAUUCAAUUGUGUUUAAUAGGAAGUGCGUGUUAAUAUGUUGUUAAUUUGAGUGAUUUUUUCCAAAAUUGAGUUAAAAUUAAAUAGAGUUUUAUGCUAAUUCCCAAAAUUUAAAAUUAAUUGAGUGACAUUAAGCUGUGGUUUUUGCUAUUAUAUUGUCUACGUGUUUGAUUAACAACAUAUUACGUUUCUAAUUACAUCAAAUUAGAAUUUUUGUUGAUUGUUUAAGUUGGUUUAUUAGAAAUUAGAGCUUUUGUCCGAUUUGUUGUUAAAAUGAUAAAAUUUCUCAAAAUCAAUUGCGUUUAAUAGCAUGUGUAUGUUAAUGUCCGAAACUAUGACUCAGAUAACUCAGCAGUGUGUAGAGCUAUGUCGAUCUGAAGAUAAUAAAAUUUCAGAGCUAAAAAAAGACGUUGGUAAACUCCAUAAAACCCAUAACGUUUAUUAUUAUUUUGGUUUUUAAUUUUGUAGCAUGUUCAUGAUUUUUUUUUCUUUUUCCAUAAUGUUUCUACUAUGCUACUAUGUCUUGUUUGAUUCUUUAUUGUGAUCAGGUAAGACAUGAAUGAUUUUACGUUGAUAACUCUAAGAUAGUACCAUGGUGAGGUCUUACAUUUUAGUAGGGGAAAACCAGUUUAUAAGGGGGGGUUAGUAACAGAAUUUUUGAAUGUUGACGUAGAUAAGAUGUCAUAUUUUGAGUUGAAAGACUAUAUUAAAAAUUGGGACAUAGCAUAACUUGCACUUUUAGUAUUAAAGCAUUUAACUAUGGCAUUUUGGUAGAUGUUGAUAAUGAUAUGGAUAUUUUUGAGAUGAUGUGUUCCUUGCAAGAUGGGGAUGAAGUAGAGGUAUUUGUCAACCAUUUGUUGAUGAGCCAGAUGUAGUGGCCCCCCCUCCCCCAAACCUUUAUUUUUAGAAAAUGUCUGUCCUAGAAAUUUAGAGGAAUCUGGUGCAUCUUUUAAUACUAAGCCUAACUUUAGGGUAAGUGGGGACCAUUUAAAUGUGGAGGACCCUACUUCUUUUUUUCCAACCACACCUCCUUUCAAUACCACACCUCUUUUCACUACUGCAUUAAGUGUUGCUGUAACAACUAAUGCUGCAGUAGAUGAUAUAGAUGUUGGUCUUGCUGGAUUUGAUUUUUUAGAAGAAGAAGUAGAGGCUUCUGAUUAUUCUACUGAGAAUAAUGUUGAGUCAGAAGGAGAAUUAGUUGGAGAUGAUGAUGAAGAGGAGUAUGGUAAUGAUGUACCUGAGGAGGUUAGGGAGUUGAGAGUUGAAAAGAGAAAGUUUCAAAGGAGAAAAAGAAAUGAGAGAGUACCAACUGACAAUGCAGAGGUACCAGUAGGUGAAGUAGUACCAGAUCUAGGUUUUGAUGAAACUGAAACCGGUAGAGUAAGUUAUGAAGGAAGGCUUGGAGGUGAUGAGCCUUACUUUGCAAGUUCUGAUGAGGAUAGUUUUGUAUUAGAUGAAGAUGAUUGUUGUGAUGAUGAUGAACAUGAAAUGGUUCAUUCUGGUAGAGCAAGAACUAUGAAGUUGUCAAAAAAGAGGACAACAAAUCAAAAAAUCAUUCAUGACCCAACUGCAAAGGAAGUUGUUUGCCAGUUACGUAUGGUGUUUAAAGAUAUGAGUGAAUUUAGAAAAGCAGUGACUAAAUAUGUAAUAAGAAAAAGGGUUCUUGUAGAGAAGUGGGUUAAUGAGCCAAAAAAGGUUAGAGUUAGGUGCAAUGAUGGCUGUCCAUGGCUUUUAUUUGCAGGUCUUGACAAGACAACAAAUGAUUUCAUGAUAAAAAACUUAUAUUCCAAAGCAUACUUGCAAUAAGACAACCAGAAAUUACUUGUGCAAUGCAAAGUUCUUAGCUGAAAUCUUUAGAGAAAGAAUAGUUGAGCAACCCAACAUAAGAGUAUUCAAGUUGCAAAAGUUGAUUAGAAAAAAGUUCAAACUUUAUGUUGGUAAGAUCACUGUGAGAAAAGCAAGGUCUAAAGUCUUAAAGGAGAUAAUGGGUGAUCAUGUUGUAGAAUUUGGAAGAAUCCUUGACUACAAAGAUGAACUGUUGAGGAUAAAUCCGGGGACCAGUUGCGUUGUCAAACUUGGUGAGGCUGAUGAAGCAGGUAAACCAAAAUUUCAGACUUUUUACAUAUGCUUUGAUGUUUUGAAGAAGGCAUGGGUACAUUGUAGGAAGUGCAUAGAUUUAUAUGGUUGUUUUCGUAAGGGUAUUUGUAAAAGCCAAUUGUUAGUUGUUGUUGCCAAGGAUGGAAAUAACUAGAUGCUGCCACUUGCUUGGGCAAUAGUUGAAAAACAGAAUACAAACACCUGGACAUGGUUUAUUAGGUGCAUUAGGGAUGACCUAAGACUUGAAGAAGGUGAAAGUCUCACCCUGAUUACAGAUAUGCAGAAGGUAUGUACAGUAUUUUAUGUUUAACCUCAUUUCUUUUUAAUUUAACUUAGUACAUGUAAUUAUGCCCUAACUUCACCCUUUUUUUGUUAUGUAUGUUUACUGAAAGGACUGUUUGUAGCAAUUGAGGAGGUGUUACCUCAAUCUGAACAUAAAAGAUGUGCAAGACACAUCUUAGCUAAUUGGGCUAAGGAUUGGAGAGGUCUUCAAAGAAGACAACAAUUUUGAAAGAUAGCAAAAAGUACAUUUGAGUCUCAAAUGAGGAAGAACAUACAGAAGAUGAAGUUGCUUGGUCCUGGAAAAAUGAUGUAAGACUUAAUGUACUGCAAUAUUAAUUACUGGUGCAAGCUUUACUUCAACACAGAAGUAAAGUUUGAUUCAGUGGAUAACAACAUGAGUAAGUGUUUUAAUGCAUCGAUCUUGGCAGUUAGCAGAAGACCAUCAUUUUCCUGCUUGAAGAAAUAAGAGUGAAGAUGAUGACAAGAAUAGGCACUCUAAGGGAGUUUCCAAAUACCUGGUGUAGUAGUUACUCACCAAGGUGUUUGAAGAUUUUAGAGGAGAACAUCAACAGGGCUCUGGAUUGUACCAUUAAGUUUAAUGGAGUGACUGGUUUUGAAGUGAAAGAAGGGCUUUGUCAACACACAGUGGAUAUUAUCAAGAGGACAUAUAGGUAUAGGUUGUGGCAGUUAAAGGGCAUACCAUGUGCACAUGGUGUGGCUGCACUAUUGUUCAAGAAACAUCCCUUGUAUGACUAUAUUGACAGCUGCUACAGUAAGGAAACAUACUUGAGGACUUAUGCAAAUGUUCUUAAACUAUUAACAAACAUGAAAAUGUGGCCUGUUUCAUCAAACAUUACUGUUGCACCACCUGAAAUUAGUACCUUGCCUAGCAGGCCAUCUAAGUCUAGGAAGAAGGAAGCUGGAGAAACAAAAAAAUCUGCAAAAUUGCCUAGAACUGGACUUGCAAUGACAUGUAGGUUGUGUCAUGUAGGUUGUGUCAUGUUAGAGGCCACAACAAAAGAAGGUUCCCUCUAAGAGGACAAUCAGCAGAACCAAGUGUUGCACUAUCAGUAACACCUACUGGUUCAGGCAUUGGAAGAGGCAGACCAAAGGUAAGUUUAACACUUAAUUUAGUAUAUUACUUAUCUUACUUCUAAAAUUUCUUAACAUUAUUUUAAUAUGUAGAAAACUACACCAAAAACACCAAAUGCACCUCCUCAAGUCAGUGUUGGUUCAGGCAGGGGAAGAGGCAGACCAAAGGUAAUUUUACACUUGUACUAAUUAGCUCAAUAACUUUUAUAUAACUCUCUUCUUUUUAUAUGUAUAGAAAACUCCAUCAGAAAUCAUUAAUGCAUGUCAACAACAAAAAAAAGAAGAAGAAGGAGACCAAAAAAGGCAACACUAGCAGCACCUAGUGCAUCUCCUCUACCUAAAACACCUUCUGCGCCUACUAUUUUUCCAGCAUCCUGUUCUGCACCUUCUGAUUAUUGUGCAUCAUCUUUAAUGGCUGGUAUUACUAAAAGGGGAAGGGGUAAUGAUAAGGAAAAAACACCUCCAUUGAAAAGGUCAAAAGUAAUGGGAAUGGGUGUGUUCCAAGAUGAAAAUGGAUUCAAAGUCCUAAAUGUAAGUAUCUAGCUUUGUUGUAUCUUGUGUACAUAUGAGUCUUUAAUGUAUAAGUUUUUGAAUAAUUUUUAUCCUUCACUGUAGCCUGGCAUGCCUAGCAGUAAGAUCUGCUCUAUUGGUCAUGCAAGGGUAACAAGAUCAGCUGAUAUAACUGGUAACAUUGGUUAUACACCAAGUACUACUAAUAAGCUGAAAUUGAAUGGCAAAGUAGCAAUAUGAACGAAAAAACUACAAGAUAUUAAAGAGAAGAAAAGAAAGAAGAAUGUGCGAAGCAGUUCAAAUAAUUCAAGUCAAGAAAAUACUUCUUCAAAGUCCAAGAUGCCCUGAAAAUUGUAGUAAUGUUGAUUAUUUUAAGCACUGUUUUAAGUUAGACCAAUUGAAAUGAAAAUAAUUUUAUUUUGGUGCUGAAAAAUAAUUUAAGCACUGUAUAUAUAUUUUGUUGAUGAAUGUUGCCUAAUGGUUGGUAUGAAUGAUGAUGUUGUGCCUAAUGGUUGGUAUGAAUGAUGAUGUUGUGUGAAGUCGAAUAUUUUGUUGAUGAAUGUUGUCAUUAGGUAUUAUUGUUGUGUUAAAUGAUGGUAAAGUUGAUAUAAUGUCAACACAACAUUGUCAUUACACGAUUUAAGUGUAAAAACAUAGCAGCAGCACGGUGCUUUGUCUAACAAGACACAACUUUGAAAGUGUAAACAAUAACAUAGCAACAACAAAAGACACAAUAAGUGUAAACAAUAACAUAACAGUAAUACACAACACAAUUUUGUAAAUGUAAACAACAACGUAGCAGGAGCACAACACAAUUUUAAAAGUGAAAACAAUAACAUAGCAGCAACACAAAUGCAAACAAUAACAUAGCAGCAGCAACACAAGUGCAAACAAUAAUAUAGCAGCAACACAACAAACAUCUGAAGUACGACUAAGCAAAAGACACCAUAACAGAACAUAAUCUGAUAUAUUUAGAGAGAGAUAUACAAAAUUUACACCAUAGUAGACAAGAUCUAGCAACUAGUUUUAGUUCAUUUGUUGCUGAUGAACAUAGCAACAACACAAAUCAAAAUAAAUUAAAAUAUCUUCCUAUUGAACCUACACCAUCUCCAUUUUCUAUUAAGCUUUUUCUCCCGCGUCAAGUUAUCAAUUUGGACUUGUUUAAGCCAUACGUCUUCUUCCAACUCAUUGAUUUUUUUCACCAAUCUUGGAAAUAUAAAAUUUGAUCUUGAAUCCACUUUUUCUUUGUCCCUUUGUAGGAAAAAAUUAUAUUUUUGAGACUAAAAUUUUUUUUAGAAAUCAGUACAUUAUCAUAAUUUGAAUAUAAAUUGACGGCAAAAUACAAUGCAAAAUACAUAUACCAUAGUAGAGGCAAGACCAAAAUCUUCUUCCCGGAUUUAACUUCGACCAUGAAGUUUGCAAGUUAAGAAAAAUACCAUGUUUGCAUCUCACAACAACAUUGACCAUUGGAUCUGAUUCAUCUACACAAAGUUUAUUCAAUUUCGAAUUUGUCAUUUCAUGAAUUUCGACAAAAUUAAUGAUAAAAUUACAAACCCUAAAUUAAUAGUUGAACCAAACUACAAAACAAAACUUCACGAAUUGAAGUACAAAUUGGGAUUAAAAAUUAAAACGUACGUUAAAGAAAUAGAAAAAAAAUGGAGAAACAUGAAGGAAAAUGAUGGACAAGAACAAGGGUCUUAUAAAGAAGAAGAUGACCGUUGGAAGAGAGAGUAUUUUUUCAUCUUUAUUUCAUCAAAUAAUCAAUUAAUGAUGUGUAUAUUAUGUGGAAGGUUAAAAUUUUAAUUUUAGAUGUGCUGGGGCUAAACCAACGCGUCUAGAGGGAGUGUUCUCACCUUCCUUGUCAGGUCAACAUUUGGGGUAAUAAAUAUAGAAAACAGGUCAGCAUUUGAGGUAAUAAAUAUAGGAAAAAAUAAAUUAGAGGGUAAUAGGUCAUCUUUUGAAAAUUAAGUGUGUAGUUAAAUUUUGACUAAAGGUUGAUAUUAGCUGAACAAAAUUUUAACCAUAAACAAUAGUCCUAAAUAGAACAGGAUUCAUUCACACGACAACUUGCUUCUUGUAUUGAAGAAUUAGAAGAGGGGUUCUUAAGGAUCAUUCCUUACAAAUAAUUCUAAGAGAAAGAAAAGAGACGCAACUACUUUAAAUAAAUGAUAAAAGGAAAUUAUUUAUUAAUCAAACUCAUAACAUUUUCUUGAUUACAAUUGUAAGACGAAGACCCACAACCUUAGACAAAUUACAGACACACAUCAUUCAGAUUGAAACAAACAUUAUUGACUGACAAAGGGAGUUCGACAAACAACAGUUGAUUUGCAAUUCUUCUUCAACCAAAGAUGUCAAUCGCCUUCACCUCAUGUUUCUUCUCCUCUUCCUUCGGAACAGUCACAGUGAGCACUCUGUUCUCCAUAGCUGCCUUAAUUUCCCCUAUUUUCGUAUUCUCCGGCAGCCUAAAUCUCCUCAAAAACUUGCCGUUGCUCCUCUCCAUACCGUGCCACUGAUCAUUCUUCUCCUCUUGCUCUCUGCUUCUCUCACCACUUAUCUGUAAUAUCCUUCCUUCUGCAACUUCGACUUUCACUUUUUCUUUCUUGAUCCCCGGAACAUCUGCUUUGAAGAUAUAAGCUUCUGGAGUUUUCUUCGAAUCAAUUCUUGCAUUUACGAAAGUAGAAGUUUCACGAGAAGAGGAGGGGGUGUUGGUGAUUGUGCUUGAAAUUGGGAAGCCUUCGAACGGAUCCCAUAGGUCGAGGGAGAAUGGGUCAAAGAUGUUGCUCCUGCGACCACCGAAGAAGCUUGGAAUCAGAGACAUUUUCUGGGGACUUUGUUGUUUGAAGAAGACAAAAGAUGUACUGUUACAGAGCUUGAAUUUUUCUUUGAUUGUAGCGUUUGAUAAUUUGUUGUUGAUGAAUGAGAGGAGAUGCCGUGAUAUUUAUAGGCGAUGAACCAUGAAACUUAAGUAAUUGGAGUGUAAUCUAGGAUGUUCUCAGAGUAUUCGACGAUAUUCUUCAAUAAGCUAUCCAAUUCGAGGCUAAUCUUCGAUGUUCUUCGGUUUAACUUUCAUUAAUAGAAGAAAUAAGAAGCUUCUACAGUAUUCGAGGGAAUUUUUCUAAAAGGGUCAUGCACAUUAUUGUUCGUCAAGUCAUAAUUUCAAGGGUAAGGUAUAAUGGGUAAAUAAUUUUGAAAUAAAAUGAAGAGUAAAUACAUAAUAAUUACCCACUGAUGUUGGUCGAGAUUUUUAAAAAGACACUUAAACUUUGAAUUCGACCCAUUAUCCUAUGAUUCUUACUUAAUUUAUUGCAAACACACUAUUUUUCGCUGAAUUUUAGUCACAACAAGGAGAGUGAAAUACAUGCGUCAAUCAGAUGCCACCACAUGUCAAAUAUGUUUAAUUUAUAUUUUUAUUAUUAUUUUAAUAAAAUUUUAUUUUUUAUUUAAUUUAAUACCCCACCCCAAAAUCAAUUCAAAAAAUAAUUUUAUAAUUAAAUUGAGAGUUUUAUGAUUGAAUUUAGUUUUAAAGAUAGUUAAAUGAUAUGAUUUAACUGAAAAAUUGAGCUUUAAUGAUAUGAUUUUAAUAAAAAAAAAGCUUCAAUGGAGGAACUUUAAUGAUGAUAUUGUGUUGAAGAGCUUUAAUGGUGUUGAAGAAGAUAUUAUGUUGAAGAAGAAAUGGUGGAUAGUUAAAUGAUAUGAUUUAAUUGUAAAAUGGAGCUUUAAUGAAUGAUUUAAAAAAAUUAUGAAAAGUUUCAAUGGAAGCUUUAAUGGUGAGUUGAGUUAAAGAAGAAAGAGUGGGUGGUUGGAGGGCGGAGAGGGGGUAGGGAUAAUUUUUAAAAAUAAAUAAAUAUUAUUUUUUUUUAAAAAAUAUAAAUUAUAUAUUAAAUUAUUUUACACAUGACAGCUUUUAAUUGGUCAAAAAUGUCAAAUUCAAGCCAUUUCACGCGCCUGUGGUGCAUGUAUACACGUAGAGGGUCAAAAUGGUGUGUUUGCAACGAAAUAAAGAAGAAUCAUGGGGUAAUUAAUCGAAGUUAAAGUUUAGGUAUCUUUUUGUAAAUCUCGGACAAGAGAAGGAGGUAAUUAUGUAUUUACUCUAAAAUGAAAGAUUAAUACAUCCUUGACUACAUAUCUACAUGUUUCAUUAUUUACAUAUUGAAAAUGAUGGUGUUUGUAACUUUUCACAACAUCAUUUAGCAAAAAGUACCUGCACAGUACCAAAUGAUUAAUAUUUGUCUCAUAAAGAGGAAAGAAAAAGCAAGGGCAUAUUGAUAGAUGAGAUUUCCGACAAAUAAGAAACCAAAUCAUUACUAUCACAUGAACCUUAAGUUGUUGCAAUUAAGAGUUCGGAACUAAAGUAUGCCAUGCAACUAAAAAAAGAAUCAUUCUAUGUCAUAUAAAAAAAGUAUUAAAAUAGGUUUUGUGCACUUAUUAAGUGCACAAUGCCUUUCUAUUUUAACGGUAAAUCCAUUCACAGUAUCAGAGAAAGUCAAACUUAGUCAUUUUUUAUGAAUUGUGCACUUAUUAAGUGCACAAUUCAUUUUUUUAUGAAUUAUGCACUAAAUAAGUGCACAAUUCUUAUUAAAAUAGAUUGUGCACUUAUUAAGUGCACAAUGUUUUUUAAAUAAACUGUACACUUAUUAAGUGCACAAUGUUUAUUCACUUUUUACGCAUGACAUUUUCAUUUAAUUUGUUUAUUUAUUUAUUUAUUUAUUUAUUUUUUGAUUGUGCACUUUUUUAGUGCACAAUUCAUUUAUUUAUAUUGUUCACUUUUUUGUACAAUCAAUGGAUUGUUGUGAUUUUGGACUUGUUGAAGAAGAUUAACAAACAACAAAAGGAGCUGAAGGCCAAAAGGAUCUUAAAGCUAAUUUUAAGCAUUAGUGUGAUAUGUAAUCUGAUGAUGUUCAUUUACCUUUUGUGCCAUUGAAAGAGAAUUGUCUAUGUAUGAUGUUUUAUUUUGACGAAUAUAAUAGUAUUUCUCUGUUAAAGUACAAAUACUCUUAACACGAAAAUUUUUAUGGUAGAUGAGGUGCGCCAUGUCAUAUUUAUGUGAGGCUUUUCAUUAUUUGACAAGUGCACAUUGUGGGUCCCGUGUAAUUAUUAUCCUUUUCACUUUUUAUUGAAAUGUCAUGCUUUUUUAUUUUUUAAUUUAUUUACACAAAAUCAAAUAACAUGAAUAAAAUAGGGUGAAAAAAUUAUCAUACAAUUUUUUCUUUUUUAUUAAUAUAAAUUAUCUAACUUUAAAGUUUAUCACACAUAAAUUAUUAUUUUUUUUAUUUUUCAUAUAAAAAAUCAUCCAUUUUAAAAUUAUCACAGUAAUCUUUUUUUCUAAUUUUUAAAUGGCAAUGAAAUGAUAUAAUAAAAUUAUUUAUCAUUAUUUUAUUCAAUAAAAUUAUUUAGAUUAAUAGAUUUAUCUCACGAAGUAACAAUAGAAUUAAAACCCACACUUAGAAAAUAGGAUAGUUUGUAAUUAGCAUCCUUAAUAUAUGUGCAUUUUUUUUAAUUACACUUUAUUUUAUUUUUAAUGUCUUGGCCCUUAAAAUCUCAUUAAAUUCCUACAAAAUUAUAAUUAAUCUCAUUUUAAUUGUUACAAAGACAAAAAAAAAAGGAAAAAAUAGAAUUAAGAAGAAAAAAUAAUAAUAGCCUUUCAAUAUUGAUUCAUACCUCCAGUGAAUUUAUCUUGAAUGACUUUCAAGCCGUCUUUGCUUCUUUAAAUAAUCAAAUUUAAUAUUUCAAAAGUAUAUUUAUUGAAAUUAUUUAUUAGUUUAGUUUGGUUUAUAUUAAAAUCAUGUGUUUUAUUUUUGUUUUUUCAUCCGGUGUCCGAUACCCGCAUUGGAGUACGACUAAUGCUGAUUCGCGCCGCGUAGUGUCCCAUUCGGGGGGAAGCGCACCUUACCAAGAAUUUUUUCAUACCUAGGGCUCAAACCCGAGACCUCUGGUUAAAGGAGGAGCAGCCCCAUCCGCUGUAUCACAUCAUUUGGUGGUAUUAAAAUAUGUGGUUGUAUUAUGGUGAAACUGUUUAGUUUGAAAGCUUAUAACAAUUAUUAUUAUUAUUAUUAUUAUUAUUUAUGCUUUUUAUUUUAUUUUAUGUUUUUAAAGGGUAAUUUAUUUUAUUAUUAUUAUUAUUAUUGUAUUUUAAAUAAAUUGCCCUUUUAAAAUAUAAAAUAAAAUAAAAACUAUAUAUGCUUAUAACAAAUUAUCGUAUUCAUACUAUAAUUUUUUUACAUACAAAUACAUAUUUAUAAUAAUAAACAUUUUAAAUGUCAGCCGUAAAAAGUGAAUAGAGAUUGUGCACUUAAUAAGUGCACAAUCUAUUUAAAAAAUGUUGUGCACAAUCUAUUUUAAAAAAAAUUGUGCACUUUAGUGCACAAUUCAUAAAAAAAAAUGAAUUAUGCACUUAAUAAGUGCACAAUCCAUUAAAAAAUGGAUUGUGCACUUAAAAAUUGCACAAUCUAAGCGUGACCUUCUCUGACGCCGCGAAUGGAUUUGCUGUUAAAAUAAAAAGGCAUUGUGCACUUAAUAAGUGCACAAAGCCUAUUUUAGUAUUUUUUUUUAUAUGACAUAAAAUAAUACUUUUUUUAGUUGUAGGACAUAUUUGGUUUCGGACUCUGCACUUAACUAUAUUUCAUUCUUUUAUAUCAAAUACCUUCGUAGUAUUUAUUGGAAGAGUUCGUUGUGAUGGGAAAAAUACUUUCAUAGUAAGAAAAUCUAGAAAGUACAAACAUGUACUCAAACUAACUUAAAUAAAGUAGAAACAAUUAGAUUAGCUAAAUUAGAAUAUCAUGUAAUGUUGAAAACAUACUGAAAGACAUUCGAGAAGCUAACAUCGACAAGGAAUUAAGCCACUUUUACGUCCAAAACUCUCAUGUUCUCGAUCUUUCUAUUGCAGAAAAUCAACCUGAAAAAUUUAAAAGUAAAUUAUUAUUAUUAUUAUUAUUAUUAUUUAUUAUUAUUAUUAUUAUUAUUAUUAUUAUUAUUAUUAUUAUUUCAUUUCUAAUUCUUUAUUCCAUUUUUGAGAAGAGAAAAACUAAAUUAUAAAGUUGAAGGUUGUUGCCCUUCAAAUUAAAUAAUCUAUAGCCAAUAUAAUCUGGAAAACCUCUAUUUAGAAAGGGAAAAAAAUGAACAUUGAUAUACAUUUAAUAAAGCAAUGGAAAGUUGGACAUUAACCUCCUAGAAAUACUCACUGCAUCUUUUAAAAACCUUAAAUCAGAAACUAUCAAAUCUUUGUUUUUAUUAACAACAGGGACUUCCCCCAAUUCUUGUAGAAAACUUGAGACACAUAAAAUGUGAUUCUAAUGCUUAUUCAUCUCUUGAUUUUUCCAUCAUUAUUUAAAUAUCUACAACAAUAAUAUACUGGUAUAAUUUUAUUGGUGGGGUUUAGGGAGAGUAAAGUGUACACAGAUCUUACCCCUAUAAUUCGUAAAGAUAAGAGAAGUUGUUUCUGAUAGACCCUCAGCUGAAGUGAAGUAUCUCAAAGCAAUUUGAAAAGGGAAAUAUGGAAAUAGAAAUAGUAACAUCAACACUAUAUAUGAAUGCAUGGAGCGGAAUUUACCUUACUGUUUGCCUUUGCAUACGCAAUCAGCUGCUAAGUGUCUGACUCAAGAAUGCCAUCAACUAUAGUAGCCACGCCUCUAAUGAUUGCUUGUUUAAGAGCAGAUAUGGAGGAUGCAACAACAUUGCAUUGAGUUAAGAAAUUAACGAUCAGACAGAUUGUCUUUCAAGAGAUGACGGAGGGCUUGUCACACUACCAACCUUCUGAAAGAUACAAAGCUUAUAAAUACAUCAGUAGUGGGAUGUGCAACACAGCCAGCUUCAACUCUGUAUAACAGGACGGACAACAUUAGUUCAUAUAUCGUUUUGGACACACAACCAAUUGACAUACAUGGACAAAUUGAUUUAUAAUUAAGCCCUAUGUGCUAUAAUGUUGAGUCAAGAUGCUCCGCCUUUUCUAUAGAAGCAGUCAACUGAGUUCUAAACGAAUUAGCUUCUGGCCAUAUUACGCCUGUUGGGUUCAAUAUGUAUGGAAGAAGUGUGAAUAGAAAAUGGAGAGAAAAAGGAUGGAGGGAAGGAAACACUAAUUUAGAAAGUGUACUCUCAAAUUGAAAAGUUCACUAAAUCUCCCACAUUGGUGGGAGAAGAGAACUUUGGAGUAUUUUUAAUAAAGAAUACUUACUCUACAUAGAUAGUGAGGCAAGAACAAGGUGGUGCUUCGUGUUGUUGUCGUCGCUCGGCUCGACUUUGAAUUUGGAUUGAUGGAAUCUAUUAUUUUGGACAAAAUUUAUUUGAUCAAAAUCUGAUCCGAAUAUUCUAAAGGAAAAAUGACAGAAAUGCAGAAAAUUUUUUUGUGUUUUAUCCUCCAUUUAUAUGCAUGUAUACAGUGAACUGAUGCAUUAUUUCGAACUGAACUGAUGCAAUGUUAUGAACUGAUGCUUCAAAAAGAUGCAACCAUUCAGUAAAAAUGAUACACUGAUUCAUGGAAAGGUAUGCUUGUUCGGAAAAGAUACACUGUUUGGACGAAUAGACAUGAUUUUUCAGGAAAGGUUACACCUUUUUAAAUAAACCAUUGCCACUUUUCAGAAGAGGCCAGUUAUGACUAUAUAAACCUGCUUUCAUCCAUAGGUUUAGACAUGAAAAUUUUUUUGAAACAAAAACUCUUCUUGUUUUCAAAUAUUUUGUGUGAUCAAUCAAACUGUUGAGUGAGUUCGUAGAAUCCGUCAAUUUGAGGUACCGUUAUUGUUCGGAUUGAAGUCCAUUUUAUCCUGGGAGGAAGAUUCCAUAACCUCGGGUACAGUGAGGAGAAUUAUUCCAUAAGGACAUUCCAUGAAGUCGGGGGACUUGAUCUAAAUUUCUGUUUCAUCUUUUUCUGAAUAUUAACACACUUCUAAGAUAGAUUAUUCAUAAUCUAGUGUUGAAGGUGUGAAGAAACUUCAUAAGUUCUUGUCUUGAACUUGAACUUUCUUUGAAGUUUCUGUUGCUUAUAUAUAGAUUCUUGUACCCGAAUACAUACAAAAUAACAAUCUUAAGGAAUAAUUCAGAAUCUGUAUUACUUGUUUUUGAAGAUUAAAUCUUUAAACUUUCUACUCCGUUUGAAUUUAACUAGUGAUUAGAAGACAUAAAAUCUUUAUCACAAGUUUAAAAUUCACUCGGUUGACAAUUGGAAGUCAUUAAAACUUCAUUGUUAACUAGAAACAAGAAGAAGAGUUUAAGUUUCUUAACUUUAUAAGUAGUAUUCUGAAAAUACUAAAUAUUAUUGUCUUGUGGUGACAGGAAAAAUAACUAAUGAAAGCCAAAUGCAAGAUGCGGCUACGACUGUGGGGGCAACUAGCAUUGCUUCAACAAGUCGAGCAAAUGCUCCGCAACCAAUGGCACCUGCGGAGAAGCCUGGAAAAUUUACGGGCGUUGACUUUAAGCGAUGGCAGCAAAAAAUGUUCUUUUACCUCACCACUCUAUGCCUUUAAAGGUUCACUAGUGAAGAUGCUCCUGAGGUGCUCGAGGGAACCUCGGACAAAGAGCAUUUCAUGAUUGUAGAAGCUUGAAAAUACUCAGACUUUCUUUGUAGGAAUUAUAUAUUAAGUGGUCUCCAAGACGACCUCUACAAUGUUUACAGUGGAACUAAGACACCGAAGAAAUUGUGGGGGGCACUAGAUCGAAAAUACAAGACAUAGGAUGCGGAAAUUAAGAAAUUCUUUGUUGCAAGGUUCUUGGACUUUAAAAUGAUAUAGAGCAAAUCGGUUGUCUCUCAAGUGCAGGAAUUGCAAGUAAUCAUCCAUGAUCUUCUAGCGGAAGGUUUGAUUGUGAAUGAUGCUUUCCAAGUAGGAUCGAUAAUUGAGAAGCUACCACCAAUGUGGAAGACUUCAAAAACUGCUUGAAGCAUAAAAGCAAGGAGAUGACUGUUGAAGAUCUUAUUAACCGACUGCGUAUUGAAGAGGAUAAUAAAGCUACCGAGAGAAGGUCAAAAGGGAAUUCUGCAAUUAAUGGAGCACAUAUUAUGGAAGAUGACCAAAAUAAUUCUGAGAAAAGGAAGAAAGUUGAACAAGGAAGCAAUCAACCGAAGAAGAAAUUCAAGGAAAAAUGCUUCAAUUGUGGCAAGAUUGGCCAUAAGUCCACGGAUUGUCGAACCCCAAAGAAAGGCAAGAAAAAGGAUCAAGCAAAUAUGAUUGAAUCCAACAAAGAAUGCGAUGAUCUGUGUGCUAUGUUUUCAGAAUACAACUUGGUGGGAAAUCCUCGCGAAUGAUGGAUGGAUUCUGGUGCCACCCGCCAUGUAUGUGCAACAAAGAGUUGUUUUCGUCAUUUGUUCUGGCUCAAGUAGAAGAAAUAAUCUACAUGGCUAACUUCGCUACUGCUAAGGUAGAAGGAACAGGAAAAAUGUGCUUGAAAAUGACUUCAGGAAAAGUUUUGACACUUAACAAUGUCUUGUAUGUUUCAGAGUUACGUAGAAAUUUAAUUUCUGUUUCACUUCUAGACAAGAACGGAUUCAAAUGUGUAACCGUUUCUAGUAAAAUUAUAAUUAGCAAAGGAGAAAUGUAUGUAGGAAAAUGCUAUCUCACCGAGGGCCUUUAUAAGAUGAAUGUAAUGAAUGUUGAAAUAAAUAAAAGUUCAAAUUCUUCUUAUUUUCUUGAGUCUUAUGAUUUAUGGCAUGAACAUUUAGGCAAUGUUAAUUAUAAAACGCUACAAAAACUGAUUAACUUAGAAGUUCUGCCGAACUUUGAGUGCAAUAAAUCAAAGUGUCAACAUGUGUGGAAUCAAAGUAUGCAAAACAUCCUUAUAAGUCUGUUGAAAGGAAUUUCAAUCCCUUAGACUUAGUACACACUGACAUUUGAGAUAUGAAGUCAACACCAUCACGUGGUGGAAAAAAGUAUUUCAUAACUUUUUUUGACAAUUGCACUAGAUAUUGUUAUGUCUAUUUGCUAAAUAGUAAGGAUGAAGAAAUGGGUACGUUUAGGAAAUACAAAAUUGAAGUUGAAAAUCAGUUAGAUAAAAAGAUAAAAAUAAUAAGAAGUGAUAGGGGCAGAGAAUAUAAAUCUCCUUUCGCCGAAAUAUGUGUAGAGAAUGGAAUUGUCUAUCAAACUACGGCCCCGUAUUCACCUCAAUCUAAUGGAAUUGCGGAAAGAAAGAAACAAAUUUUGAAGGAAAUGAUGAAUGCCUUGCUUAUAAGUUUUGGUUUACCGUAAAACUUGUGGGAGGAGACUAUCCUUACAGUCAAUCGUAUACUCAAUACAGUUCCCCAUAGUAAGACACAGUCAAUUUCUUAUGAAAAAUGGAAAGGAAGGAAACCCAACUUGAAAUAUUUCAAAGUGUGGGGUUGUCUAGCAAAGGUCCAAGUUUCUAUGCCUAAGAGGGUUAAGAUAGAACCUAAACUGUGGACUGUGUGCUCAUAGGAUAUGCUAAAAGCAGUAAAGCAUGUCGAUUUUUGGUUCAUAAAUCCAAACAUCCGGAUAUAAAUAAAAAUACGGUAAUUGAAUCAGAUAAUGUUGAAUUCUUUGAAAAUAUUUACCUGUAUAAAACUAGACAUGAACAUUCUAGUGGAGGGUCUAAAUAACCUCGAGAUGAACCAAGUGAGAAUAUGCAUAAUGAAGAGAAUCCAAGAUGUAGUACACGUCGAAGAACUUCUACUACGUUUGGAUCAGAUUUUGUAACUUUUCUCUUAGAAAAUGAGCCUCAAACAUUUAAAUAAGCGGUGUCGACAUCAGACUCAUCCUUUUGGAAAGAGGCAGUCAAUAGUAAGAUUAAUUCAAUCUUAAGCAAUCAUACUUGAAAAUUGGUUGAUUUUCCUCCCGAAAAUAAAUAUUUAGGUUCUAAAUAGAUCUUCAAAAGGAAGAUGAAAGCGGAUGGUACUAUUGACAAAUACAAGGCAAAACUUGUAGUAAAAGGCUUCAAACAAAAAGAAGGUCUUGAUUACUUUGAUAUAUACUUGCCAGUAACAAGGAUAAAAUCAAUUCGAAUGUUAAUUGCCUUAGCUGCGGUAUUUGAUCUUGAAAUUCAUCAAAUGGAUGUGAAAAUCGCUUGCCUAAAUGGAGAAUUGGAGGAAGAAAUUUACAUGGAACAACCUGAGGAUUUUAUGGUUCCAGGAAAGGAAAACAAGGUGUGUAAACUUAUUAAGUCAUUGUAUGGACUAAAGCAAGCACCAAAAUAAUGGCAUGCGAAGUUUGACCAAACCAUGUUGGCAAACAGAUUUAAAAUAAAUGAAUGUGAUAAAUGUGUUUAUAUUAAAGACACUCCAAAUCACCAAGUCAUUGUAUGUUUAUAUGUGGAUGAUAUGUUGAUCAUCAGCAGAGACAUUUCUGACAUAAAUGCAGUUAAAUGAAUGCUCGAGAGCAAGUUUGAUAUGAAAGAACUUGGAGUUGCAGAUGUGAUCUUAGGUAUAAGAAUCCAUCGAACUCCAUAAGGGUUGGCAUUGUCACAGUCUUAUUAUAUCAAAAAUAUACUUGACAAGUUCAAGUAUAUGGAAUUCGGUAUUGCCAAGACUCCAUUGGAUGUGAGCUUUGUACUUCGAAAGAAUGAAGGUGAAAGUGACUCACAAUUGGAGUACGCAAGAGUAUUGGGAUGUUUAUUGUAUACAAUGAAUUGUACACGAUCAAACAUAGCAUGCGCUAUUAGUAAAUUGAGUCGGUACACAAGUAAUCCCAACAAAACUCAUUGGAUGGAAAUGAAAAGAGUGUUGGGGUAUCUUAAAUACACUCAAGAUUAUGCCUUGCAUUAUAAUAAAUAUCCUGCGGUACUUGAAGAAUAUAGUGAUGGAAAUUGGAUCACUGGAUCGGAUGAAGUAAAAUCCAUAAGUGGAUAUUUAUUUACUAUCGGAGGAGGAGUAGUCUCUUGGAAAUCAUCCAAACAGACUUGUAUUGCUCGUUCUACAAUGGAAUCUGAAUUUAUCACAUUGGAUAAAGCCGGUGAAGAAGCAAAAUGGCUUCGAAAUUUCUUGGAAGACAUUCCGUAUUAGCCCAAAUCAGUGGCACCAGUAUGUAUACACUGUGAUAGCCAAGCGACAAUAGGUAGUGUAGGGAGUAUGAUGUAUAACGAUAAAUCUCGUCAAAUACGAGGGAGACAUAAUACCGUUAGAGAACUUCUCUCUAGUGGAAUUAUCAUUAUUGACUACGUAAAGUCAAAGGAUAAUGUUUUGGAUUGACUUACGAAAGGUCUAUCUAGAGAAGGAGUGGAAAGGACAUCCAAGGGAAUGGGUUUAAAGCCUAGGACAAGUCAGCAUGGCGGUAACUCUACCUAGCAGACUGGAGAUCCCAAGAGCUAGGUUAAAGGAGAUCAAACAAAGUUGUGUCUGACAGGUUCAACAUUGUCAAUUACCCAACCCAUUCUCAUGAUGUAGACAAUGUUUAGUAAACAAGGAUAAGACUUAAGGUUAAAAGUCUUUUAAUGAUUAUCUAAAUUUGGCAGAUUUGACCAAAUAGUUUAAUCUAUAGGAUUGAACAUUUAGAAAUCACCUAAGUAAGGACGAAGUGGAAGCUGCUUCAAAGAGAAUGUUAGUAAAGGCCCAUUCUCUAAGCUCUCAUGAAACUGGGACGUGUUCAUGGCUGAAAAAAAUAAAACUGUGAGAACCAUAAACGGUAAAAGGCUGGUUAUGUGACACGUGUUGUCUAGGUGUACAUUAAAGCUCGAUGGUUCAAAGAUAUCAAAUUUGCUAAUUGACCGAGUGCAUCCGAUGCAUGUUCACUACGGAAAGGUCAAAGAAAAACCAACUUAUGCAGAUGCAAUCAGUCUUUACUUGAUGAUCACAUACUUGUCCGUAAAAAUUUUAUGAAAAAUAGCCAUUCCUCAUUCAUGUGGGGAAUUGUUGGGUUCAAUAUGUAUGAAAGAAGUGUGAAUGGAAAAUGGAGAGAAAAAUGAUGGAGGGAAGGAGACACUAAUUUAGAAAGUGUACUCCCAAAUUGGAAAGUUCACUAAAUCUGCCAUAUUGGUGGGAGAAGAAAACUUUGGAGUGUUUUUAAUAAUGAAUACUUACUCCACAUGGAUAGUGAGGCAAGAAAAAGGUGGUGCCUCGCGCCGUCGUCGACGUCGCUCGCUCGGCUCGGCUUCAGCUUCGGCCUCAACUUUGGCGUCGGAUUUGGAUUUGGAUUUGGAUGAAAAUGGAGAGAAAAAUGGUGGAGGGAAGGAGACACUAAUUUACAAAGUGUACUCCCAAAUUGAAAAGUUCACUAAAUCUCUCACAUUGGUGGGAGAAGAGAACUUUGGAGUGUUUUUAAUAAUGAAUACUUACUCCACAUGGAUAGUGAGGCAAGAACAAGGUGGUGCCUCGAGCUGUCGUCGUCGCUCGCUCGACUCGACUUCGGCUUCGACUUUGGAUUUGUCAAAUGAUCGAUCAAUGAGAUCUAUCUAAUCUUUUUGGACAAAAUUUAUUUUAUCAAAAUCUGAUCCGAAUAUACCAAAGAAAAAAUGACAGAAACGCAGAAAAUUUUUCUGUGUGAUCAAUCAAACUGUUGAGUGAUUUCGUAGAGUCCAUCAAUUUGAGGUACCGCUAUUGUUCGGAUUGAAGGCCAUUUUAUCCUGGGAGAAAGAUUCCAUAACCUCGGGUACAGUGAGGGGAAUUAUUCCUUAAGAACACUUCGUGAAGUCGGAGGACUUGGUAUAAAUUUUUGUUUCAUCUUUUUCUGAAUAUUAAAACACUUCUAAGAUAGAUUGUUCAUAAUCUAGUGUUGAAGGUGUUAAGAAACUUCAUAAGUUCUUGUCUUGAACUUGAACUUUCUUUGAAGUUUCUGUUGCUUAUAUAUAGAUUCUUGUACCCAAAUACAUACAAAAUAACAAUGCCUACCACUCCCUUCUCUUUACCUGAUACAAGGCAGUCGAAGUACGCACCACCCUGUAGAUAUGAAUGGCGCGAAGGAAAGGUGCAAAUUAUCAUCUGAUGCAUUUGCUAGACAUCAAAAAAGGAAUUAACUUAUACUAUCGUGUAAAAGUUGUUUAUACUAUUAGACGUAAUUUAACCUGUUAUAACAAAUUACCUACUUUAUUUUACAGGUCACUACUUCCAUUUACUAUGUGAAGUUACAUAUUGCUAUCUUUUAGGUGUGUAAUACUAUUAAUGCAUAUGAGUUAAUUAAAGAAAAGGUCAUAUAAGCUAACGAAAUACUUUUUACACUGAUGCAAUUCAAUCGAUUGUAGUAGGUUUCAUCACCGUAAUAUUUAGGUUAUCAUAUUAGACUUGAUACGAAGAGUUACCAAUUAUUGCGAAUUAUGGUGUUCAGACACUUCAAAAAGGUAGUCACACCCGCGUCGGAUCCUCCAAAAUACAUUAUUUUUGGAGGAUUUAAAAAGCACAUUUUGAUGUUUUUAAAGAUUCCAAGCAACAUAAGUUGUAAUUCAAUAGUAUCUAAUGGUCUAAAAAAAGCAUACGUAGUCAGUGCACAAAACUUAAGCUCGGAGAAUAAAAUGACUUACUUCAUUUGCUUGGUUUGGACAAGCUUGCCAGCAGUAGAAAUAUCAGCAUCAAGUUCUUCAUUUUGGUAGAAAAGUUUAGGAUCAUUUACCAUAUCCAAUUUUCUCUUCUUGUAAGCAGCAACACAAACUUGCAAUAACCUAGUAAAAGGGCUACCAGCAGGAUCCAAAUUUCUAUACAAAGGGUAUCCAAAUAUGAACACAACAAUUGAAAUAAGCAUAGCAAUUAUUGGUACAACAAAUCCAAUGCUCCAUCCAAUAUUAUCUUGAAUGUAAACAAUUAUCGUGACAGCAACAAGCAUUGAAAAUCCCAUUGGCCUGAUUUUGCUUCUUUUUCAUUGAAAAUCCCAUUGGCUUGAUUUUGCUUCUUUUUUCAUGAGCUAUUUACUCAUUCUUCUUUUACUCUGAGUUUGAAAUUGUUAUUUUAUGGUGUUUUCGGGUACAAGAAUCUGUAUUUAGGCACAACUUCAACACUAGUUCAAAUUUAAAACAAGAACCCUAUAAAGUACAAAAACACCCUCAACACAAGAUCGAAGUGAUCUUUCUAAGAAGUGUGUUUUAGUUUUUCAGAAAUUAAGAUGAAAUAGAAAUAUAAAGCCAAGUCCCCCGACUUCAUGGAGUGUCCUUAAGAAAUAAUUUUCCUCACUGUAUCCGAGGUUUUGGAAUCUUCCUCCAAGGAUAAAAUGACUUUCAAUCCAACUAUAGUGGUACCUCAAAUAAUUGAAUUUGUCGAACUCACCCAACGAUUUGAUUGAUCACAAAGAAUGUUUUGAAUACAAGAAGAGUUUUUAUUCCAUAAAAUUUUUCAUUCAUUUCUAAACCUGUAGAUGAAAGCAGGUUUAUACAACCAACAAAUACCUUUUCUGAAAGAUAACAAUGGUUUACUUAAAAGGUGUAUCCUUUGGAAGAGUCAUGUUUGUUCAUUUGAAACAUUGUAUCUUUUUCUGAACAGACACAAUUAUCUGAACAGUCACACCUUUUUCAAAAUAAGAUAUCUUUUGCUCAAAGGUUGUGUCCCUCUAUUUUCCAUUCACACCAAUUAAACCAAACAAUCCCCCAUAUGAAUGGGGAAUGACUAUUCUUUGUAAAACUUUACAAAAAAGUAUGUGAUCAUCGAACAAAGAUUGAUUGCGUCUGGAUAAGUGGGUUUUCCUUUGAACUUUUCGUAGUGAACAUGCAUCGGAUGCACUCGGUCAAUAGGUAGAUUUGAUAUCUUUGAGCCGUCGAGCUUUAAUGUACACCUAGACAACACAUGUCACACAGCCUUUUACCAUUUAUGGUUCUCAUGGUUUUGUUUUUUUCAGCCAUGAACACGUCUUGCUUUCAUGAGAUCUUAGAGAAUAGACCUUUACUAACAUUCUCCUUGAAGCGGCUACCACUUUGCCCUCACAUAGGUGAUUUCUAAACGUUCAAUCCUAUAGAUUAAACUAUUUGAACAAAUAUUCCAAAUUUAGAUAAUCAUUAAAAGAAUUUUCACUUUAAGUCUUAUCCUUAUCUACUAAACAUUAUCUACAUCAUGAGAAUGGAUUGGAUAAUUGACAAUGUUGAACCUGUCUGACACAACUUUGUUUGAUCUCAUUGAACUUAGCUCUUGGAAUCUCCAGUUUACUAGGUAGAGUUACCGCCAUGCUGACUUGUCCUAGGACUUAAACCCAUUCCUUUGGAUGUGCUUUCCACUCCUUCUCUAGAUGGGUCUUUUGUAAGUGGAUCCGACACAUUAUCCUUUGACUUUACAUAGUCAACAGUGAUAAUUCCACUAGAGAGAAGUUCCCUAACGGUAUUAUGUCUCCGUCGUAUGUGACAAGAUUUACCGUUGUACAUUAUGAUUCCUGCCCUACCUAUUGCCGCUUGGCUAUCAUAGUGUAUACAUACUAGUGUCACUGGUUUGGGAAAAUAACAAAUAUCUUCCAAGAAAUUCUGGAGCCAUUCUGCUUCUUCAACGGUUUUAUCCAAUGCGAUAAAUUCAGAUUCUAUGUAGAGCGAGUAAUACAAGUCUGUUUGGAUGAGUUCCAAGAGACCGCUCCUCCACCGAUAGUAAAUACAUAUCCACUUGUGGAUUUUACUUCGUUCGAUCCGGUGAUUCAAUUUGCAUCACUAUAUCCUUUGAGUACCGCGGGAUAUUUAUUAUAAUGCAAGGCAUAGUCUUGAGUGUAUUUAAGAUACCCCAAAACUCUUUUCAUUGCCACCCAACGAGUUUUGUUGGGAUUACUCAUUUACCGACUCAAUUUACUAAUAACGCAUGCUAUAUCUGGUUAUGUACAGUUCAUAGUAUACAUUGAACAUCCCAAUAUUCUUGUAUACUCCAAUUGUGAGUCACUUUUACCUUUAUUCUUUCGAAGUGCAAAGCUCACAUCCAAUGGAGUCUUGGCAGUACCGAAUUCCAUAUACUUGAAUUUGUCAAGUACCUUUUAGAUAUAAUGAGACUGUGACAAUGCCAACCCUUGUGGAGUUCUAUGGAUUCUUAUACCUAAGAUCACAUCCGUAACUCCAAGGUCUUUCAUAUCGAACUUGCUCUAGAGCAUUCGUUUCGUUGCAUUUAUGUCAGAAAUGUCUCUACUGAUAAUCAACAUAUCAUCUACAUAUAAACACACAAUGACUUGAUGAUUUGGAGUUUCUUUAAUAUAAACACAUUUAUCACAUUCACUUAUUUUGAACCCGUUUGCCAACAUGGUUUAGUCAAACUUCGCAUGUCAUUGUUUAGGUGCUUGCUUUAGUCCAUACAAUGAAUUAAUAAGUUUACAAACCUUAUUCUCCUUUCCUGGAACCACAAAACCCUCAGGUUGUUUCAUGUAAAUUUGUUCCUCCAAUUCUCCAUUUAGAAAUACGUUUUCACAUCCAUUUGAUGGAUUUCAAGACCAUAUACUGUUGCCAAGGCAAUUAACAUUCGAAUCGAUGUUAUCCUUGUUACUGUCGAGUAUGUAUCAAAGUAAUCAAGACCUUCUUUUUUCUUGAAGCCUUUUACUACAAGUCUUGCCUUGAAUUUGUCAAUAGUACCAUCCGCUUUUAUUUUCCUUUUAAAGAUCCAUUAGAACCUAAAGGUUUAUUUUCUGGAGGAAGAUCAACCAAUUCCCACAUAUGUUUGCUUAAGAUUGAAUCAAUCUCACUAGUGACUAUCUUUUUCUAAAAGGAUGAGUUUGACGACGACAUCACUUCUUUAAAUGUUUGAGACUUAUUUUUUAAGAAAAAUAUUACAAAAUCUGAUCCAAAUGUAGUAGAAGUUCUUUGAUGUGUACUACGUCUUGGAUUCUCUUCAUUAUGUAUAUUCUCACUUGGUUCAUAUCGAGGUCGUUUAGACCCUCCACAAGACUGUUCAUGUCUAGUUUUAUACGGGUAAAUGUUUUCAAAGAAUUCAACAUUAUCUUAUUCAAUUACUGUAUUUUCAUUUAUAUCCUGAUGUUUGAAUUUAUGAACCAAAAACCGACAUGCUUUACUGCUUUUAGCAUAUCCUAUGAAUACGCAGUCCAUAGUCUUAGGUCCUAUCUUAACCCUCUUAGGCAUAGGAGCUUUAACCUUUUCUAGACACCUCUACACGUUGAAAUAUUUCAAGUUGAGUUUUCUUCCUUUCCAUUUUCAUAAGGAAUUGAUUGUGUCUUGCUAUGAAGAACUCUAUUGAGUAUAUGGCUGUAAGGAUAGCCUUCCCCCACAAGUUUUGUGGUAAACCAAAACAUAUAAGCAAGACAUUCAUCAUUUCUUUUAAAGUUUGAUUUUUUCCGCAAUUUUGUUAGAUUGAGGUGAAUACAGGGCCUUAGUUUGAUGGAAAAUUCCAUUCUCUACACAUAUUUUGGCGAAGGGAGAUACAUAUUCUCCGCCCCUAUCACUUCUUAUCAUUUUUAUCUUUUUCUCUAACUGAUUUUCUACUUCAGUUUUGUAUUGCCUAAAUGCAUAUAUUGCUUCAUACUUACUAUUUAGCAAAUAGACAUAACAAUAUCUAGUGCAAUUGUCAAUAAAAGUUAUGAAAUACUUUUUCUCACCACAUGAUGGUGUGACUUCAUAUCACAAAUGUCAGUGUGUACUAAGUCUAAAGGAUUGAAAUUCCUUUCAACGGACUUAUAAGGAUGCUUUGCAUACUUUGAUUCCACACACGUUUGACACUUUGAUUUAUUGCACUCAAAGUUUCGCAAAACUUCUGAGUUAAUCAACUUUUGUAACAUUUUUUAAUUAACAUGACCUAGACGUUCAUACCAUAAAUUAUAAGACUCAAGCAAGUAAGAAGAAUUUGAACUUUUAUUUAUUUCAACAUUCAUUACAUUCAUCUUAUAAAGGCCCUCGGUGAGAUAGUCUUUUCCUACAUACACUUCUCCUUUUCUAAUUACAGUUUUUUCUGAAACGAUUACACAUUUGAAUCCGUUCUUUUCUAGAAGUGAAACAAAAAUUAAGUUCCUAUGUAAUUUCAAAAUGUACAAAACAUUGUUAAUUGUCAACACCUUUUCUGAAGUCAUUUUCAAGCCCACUUUUCCUGUUCCUUCUACCUUAGCCGUAGUGGAGUUAGCCAGGUAGAUUAUUUCUUCCACUUGAGCCAGAGCAAAUGACGAAAAUAACUCUUUGUUGGCACAAACAUGGCGGGUGGUACCAAAAUCCAUCCACCACUUGGGAGGAUUCCCCACCAAGUUGCAUUCUGAAAGCAUAGCACACAGAUUAUCACAUUCUUUGUUGGACUCAAUCAUAUUUGCUUGGUCCUUUUUCUUGCCUUUCUUAGGGGCACGAUAAUUUGUGGACUUAUGGCCAAUCUUGCCACAGUUGAAACACUUUCUCUUGAAUUUCUUCUUGGGUUGAUGGCUUCCUUGUUCAACUUUCUUCCUUUUCUUAGAAUUGUUUUGGUCAUCUUCUACAAUAUGUGCCCCAUUAAUUGUAGAAUUCUCUUUUGACCUUCUCUCGGCAGCCUUGUUAUCCUCUUCAAUACGUAGUCGGACAAUAUGAUCUUCGAUAUCCAUAUUCUUGCGUUUGUGCUUUAAGUAGUUUUUGAAGUCUUUCCAUAUAGGUGGUAGCUUCUUAAUGAUCGUUGCUACUUGAAAUGCAUCAUUCACAAUCAAACCUACAAAACAGUUUAUGUGAGUACUAAGAACAUUUUCAAUUUGUUUAACUAAGGUAUUUUUCAAAGAUAUACCUUCUGCUAGGAGAUCGUGAAUGAUUACUUGCAAUUCCUGCACUUGAGAGACAACCAAUUUGCUAUCUAUCAUUUUAAAGUCUAACAACCUUACAACAAAGAAUUUCUUAAUUCCCGCAUCCUCUGUCUUAUAUUUUCAUUCUAGUGACCCCCACAAUUCGUUUAAUGUCUUAGUUCUACUAUAAAUAUUAUAGAGGUCGUCUUGGAGACCACUCAAUAUAUAAUUCCUGCAAUGGAAGUCUGAGUGUUUCCAAGAUUCUACAAUCAUGAAAUGCUCUUUGUCUGAGGUUUCCUCGGGCACCUCAGGAGCAUCCUUAGUAGUGAACCUUUAAAGGCAUAGAUUGGUGAGGUAAAAGAACAUCUUUUGCUGCCAUCGCUUAAAGUCAAUGCCCAAAAAUUUUCUGGACUUCUCCGCAGGUGCCAUUGGCUGCAGAGCAUUUGCUUGACUUGUUGAAGCAAUGCUAGUUACCCCCACAGUCGUAGCCGCAUCUUGCAUUUGACUUUCGUUAGUCAUUUUAUUGUCACCACAAGACAAUAAAAUUUAGUAUUUUCAUAAUACUAUUUAUAAAGAUAAGCAACUUUAAACUUUUCUUCUUGUUUCUAGUUAAUGAUGAAGUUUUUAUGACUUCCAAUCGUCAACCGAAUGAUCUUUAACUUGUGAUGAAGAUUUUCUGUCUUCGAAUUACUAGUUAAGUUCAAAUGGAGUACAAAGCUUAAAGCUUUAAUCUCUAAAAACAAGCAAUACAGAUUCUGCAAAAAAUUAUUUCUUAAGAUUGUUAUUUUAUGGUGUUUUCAAGUACGGGAAUUUGUAUUUAGGCACAACAACUUCAACACUAGUUCAAGUUUAAAACAAGAACACUAUGAAGUACAAAAACACAAGAUCAAAGUGAUCUUUCGAAGAAGUGUGUUUUAUUUUUUCAGAAAUUAAGAUGAAACAGAAAUAUAAAGCCAAGUCCCCCGACUUCACGGAGUGUCCUUAAGAAAUAAUUUCCCUCAUUGUACGCGAGGUUUUGGAAUCUUCAUCCCAGGAUAAAAUGACUUUCAAUCCAACUAUAGUGGUACCUCAAAUAAUUGGAUUUGUCGAACUCACUCAACGAUUUGAUUGAUCACAAUGAAUGUUUUGAAGACAAGAAGAGUUUUUAUUCAAGAAAAUUUUUCAUUCAUUUCUAAACCUGUAGAUGAAAGCAGGUUUAUAUAGCCAUCAGAUGCCUCUUCUGAAAGGUGGCAAUGAUUCACUUAAAAGGUGUAUCCUUUGGAAGAGUCAUAUCUAUUCAUUCAAAACAUUAUGUCUUUUUCUGAACAGACACAACUAUCUGAAUAAUCACACCUUUUCCAUACAUAAUAUAUUUUUUGCUCAAAGGUUGUGUCCCUCCAUUUUCCAUUCACACCAAUUAAACCCAACAGAAACAAAUGAAAUCUCACCAUCUUAGUGUGACUGCAUGUUGUUGAAGAGUUUUUCAUUGAAUGAAAAAACGGAUAGGUGACCUCAUCUUAUGGCCUUGGAUAACCUUAACCUUCUGAGCUAACUUUUGGAGUUAAGAUAACUUUAAGAUCUACUAUUUCUUUUUCGAAUAAUGCCAACCAACUCGACCAAGACAUUUAUAUGAAAAAGAUAAAAAAAAAAAAGAUGUGUUAAGUUAGUGUUUUCCCAGCCGACUCGCACACCACCAUCUUUUUUUAGAUUGAAGAAGUAUCAAGAGAAGGUCCACCUCAUCUAAUAUUUAUCGAUAAGUGGGCUUCCCAUAUCAACUUAUUCACUCUCCAAAUAUCCAACCAUGAGUAAGAUCUAUUUCUUAAUACUGGCAACAAGUAUCGAUUGACUUUUACUUUAAUCAUAAGAUUAGAUUCAGUGCCAGACUCUAUGCAUUGUGUUACCACUUAGCAGAGUGCUGUGUUUUUAAUGAACGAUCGAUCGCUACCCCCUGAGUCGCAAUUGACCAUUUCAAUAGACAUAUAGGCAAGGAAACUUCAGUAUGUAUACUUUUCUGUUGAACAUGAGACAACUUGCUUGGGUGUCGAAGAAAGAGAGCCAAAGGGCUAGAUAGAGAGAGGAGAGGGUACUCAAUACUCACCAUUGGCUCUUCACUCCUGUUUUCAAUUAGCAAAAUUAAGAGAGACAUAUCAACAAUUUCAAUACUGUAAAAUAGUUCAAAAUCCUGAAUUUUGCACUGCAUGUAAAAAAGAAAUUCAAAAAUUUAAUCAGUACAAUGAGGUCGGAAAAAAAAUCUCAACAAUGGUUGAUCUAAAAGUUAAUGAACAAAGGAAAAGAGACAUGGCAAAACAAUAAUAGCAAUUUGCCUGAAUUGUACUGGAAUAGAAAAAUUGAAAAGAGGGGAAGAGUCUUAAAACAAAAGAACUUUAUUAUGCAUUCUAACGCUAUAUUCAAAUAUUCUUCCUUCUAAUUAAAAUAGUUGAAGGAUGAAAUUAACAAACAAUGAGAAAACUCGGAAAGAAAGCAGACCAAGAAUUUGAAAUAUGAAAAAGAAUCAAAAACAUGCAAAAUUAAACUGACCGGACGCUAGAAGCCUAAAACCAAGCAAUCCUAGUAGCAGGUUUGAGCAAACAAUUGAUUAAAUGAUAGGGAGAUCCAGCAAAAUUGUUUGAGCAAAAAACAAAGAAAAAGGAGAGCAACCAAAUGAACAGAUGGAGAUCAGAUCGGUGAAAGGAUGGAUGGUAUGGAUAAACGUGGUAAAUUUAGUGCAGGUUGAAUGACACAUAAGGAAAGUAGAGGUGAAGACGAAAAUGCCCUUAGUGCUUAAACAAGCAUGUUGAAACAUAGCCUUUCCUAAUAUAGUAGUAAUAAUAAUAAUCAAUGGCGGAUGUAGAGUAGAAGGUGUGGGUUCCCGGGAACCCACACCCGCUACCGUAAGACUUAAAAUUACAUAAAAAAAUCGUCAAAAGUUAUAAAUAUUAAUAGGUGGGAACCCAUAACUAAACCAAGGGAUAACUUAGUGACAGGAAAGGAGCCCUUGUGAACCCACAAGUUUAUAAUUCUGGAUCCGCCUCUGAUAAUAAUUGAGGAGCUCCUAGGUUGAAAAUCACCAAAACAAAAAAUAGUAUUUACUACUUACCAUAAACGAAGAAAAGGAUAAAUAUAUCCUCAUAACUAUAGUAGGUAUAGGUCAUUUGUUAUAUUUUGAGUACAUAUAUAUUCUUAUCAUUAAUAAAAUAGUACGUAUAUGUUCCUCAGAUUAAUGUCAAAGGCAUAUAUGUAUCCAAAGUAUGACGGUGAUCAUAUGCAUAUCAUGUACCAUAGUUCAAUGGUAUAUUUAUCUCCUUUUCGUUUUAAUUUUUGUAACCCCAAUAAUUAACGGAAACCUACUAUCCAACUCAAUAGAAUCACUAUCCGAUCUUGUCUCAAUUAAAAUUAAAGGAACACCUAACAUAUGCAUUUUUCUCACUCUUGUAACAAUAUAUACACAUAAGCCAGUAACACGCACUACUAUCAAUUUUAAAAAAGAAAUCAUUAACUUGUAACACCUAAAAACAACAUCCAAUAAAUUCAUGUCUCAAUUUUUCAGCGAAAUUUCAUCGAAAAAAUACAAUCCACCACCGGUCAGCACCAUAUAGCCACCGUCUAUGUCGAAUAAAAAAACAUGCAUUGGCGAACCACAUCGCACCGCUAGCUCCAACCACCUUCGACCUAAUCUCCACUCCCUCCAACCCGCAAACACCAACGAAUAGCAUUGAUCAAUCACUGUAAUUUGAUUGUGCUUCAAGUUUAAAAGAAAAAUAGAGAGAGUAUUGAAUUUGAAACAAAAAUAGAAAUUGGAUCGAGUUGGUCUGCAAAGGUUCAAUGGGUUUAUUGAGUUGAAUAGGGAGUUUGAAUUAAUUAUUUUAAAUAAAAAAUUAAACGAAAAAGAAACAAAUAUAUCCCAGAAUUAUGAUAAAUAAUACGUAUAAAUAAUACGUAUAUACUCUACAUUAUACUUUGUGUACAUAUAUGUCCCUACCGUUAGUGUCAGAGAUAUACAUAUAAUUUCAUUAACGAAUAUAUACGUAUCAUUUAUCAUAAUCCCAAUAUAUAUUUACUCUUUUUCCGUACAAUAAAUAAGGAACACAAACUAACCGUCCACCCUGGAAAGUCUACCAAGGUACUACUACCAAUUACUAACAAGACAAGGAGUGGUAUUUGUUAUAGUUUGAGGCUUAGCUUUACUAGCCGAAGCUCCUGGACUCAAAAUCUAUCUUCCAAGACCCACAUCCUCAUUUCGUUGUCUCCGUCAAUCAGCCAUUAGCGUAUGUAAUUAAUUUGCGUAGUGGCAUGUUCGUAUCAGUGGUGAAACCGAGAUAUUUACUAAGGAGUUCAUAAGUGAACAAAUGAAUUAACCAAAGAUGGUCAACAUCUAAUAUAUAUACAUAAAAUUUAAUUUUAAUCAUGUAUAUAUAGCAUAAUUUUUUGUCGAUCUGAACCCCCUCGGCAAAGGGUAGAUCCGCCACUGGUUCGUAUAUUUUACGCGGACCCUUAAUGAGUCUAAGAUUAGAUAUUUGGUUUCAUCAACACAUUCUUCGUACAGACUGCAAAUAAAGAAAAACGGAGAAUGAAAUUGGCAAGCUUGUGACGUGACUAUAUGAAAGCAGUAAUGGUCCUGCAAGUGAAGUGAUGAAGCGGAUGAUUUCAUAAACUUCAAAAGAAAAAAAGACAGAGAAAUAAUACUGGAUAAUGUCAUUACAUAAGCACGGGAAACAAUCCCUAAGAUCGAAUACAUUUGAUUAUAUCAGAGUUCAGUAAGUGCUGAAGCCAAGUUGAAAUUAUAUGCCCCGUAUUGCAUAAAGCAUAUAAAGCUGAAAUGCGUUUAAGAUAUACAAUCCACUUGUUGCUAAUCUUACAUCCAAAACCUUUAUGUAGAUUUGAAUACCAAAAUCAAAACUUCCAAAACCUUUAUGUAGAUUUGACCAUAAAAGAAUAAUCUUCAUAGGUUAAGAUUCCUUUUUAGAAGUUUUGAUAAAAUAAAGAAAAAAACCGCACUCUCCCUUAGGAGCGGAGCCAGCCUCAGAAAAAUAUAUUAUUUAUACGUGAUUAAAAUUCAUUUUUAUAUGAUUAUAGUAAAUGUUAAACUCCCUUUAACUAAGUUUUCUUUGAAUAUAAAACCCUUAGUUAAAAUCCUAAUUUUUUUAAUUUUUUUUUUGAAUAUGAAUCUCCUUCAUUAAAAUCCUGAUUCCGCCUCUGCUCUCCCUAGUUAAAAAACAUCACCCAAUCUAGAGCCUAAUUACAAAAAAAAAUAGUGUUCUUCUAUGCUUCCCUUUAGAUCUACGCUUCCCUUCAGAUUAUUUAAGAAAGUGAGGACUAAUCAAAUCAAUUAUCUCAAGGAACUCAACACGCUUCUUUCCAUCAAAAAUCUCAUCACAAAUUAUGACCUCCUUGUUUUGAGGAUCCUAUAAAGGCCCGUAAAAGAAAGAGUCGGCAGCGCAAAGAGUGGAGAUACGCUAUCAGAAAGCAUUCCCUUCUUUUCACCAACCUCUCGGAUAAACCAUAGAGAGCAUCAUGUUAGAUAUCAACACUAGAAAGCUAAAGCCAGAUUACACACCCAACACAAUGCAACAAAAGAUUUGACAUACUAAUUACAGUACUACAUAGACCGGUAGAAGACAGCAGUCCAAAUGCGCUAAGCAUUCCAAAACUUCCAAUAGAUACUUAAGAUGGCAUCUAGGUAGACAAAGGUAGCAAAUCAGAAGCAUGCAAAAAGCCAGCAAUUGUGGCAAAGAACAUAGAUUAGAACCAGUAUAUUCUUUCUCAACAUAUAUACCACUAGAUAAAAUUUCCGGUGUUAAAGUAAGCAUAUCGAAUGAAAAUAACAAAUUUACAUCUUUGUUCAUAGAAGAGACGAAAUGAAGCUCAACCCACGAAAACAUUAAAGAUCAAUCGAACAACUACAAACAUGUAAAAGAAAAAACUGCAUCAAUAGCCAUUUCAGAUAAGAGUGAGCAACUACUUCAGUCAAAUGUUAAAAUUUAUGCCACAUGGAAAGGAUGUUGCAACAAGGUUUCACCGGGAUUCGCUUUAAAGGAGAGUGAAAAUUAGGGGCCAGAAAAACUCAAGACAUACUAAUUCAAGGGAAGGAAAAGAGAACCAGAAAUCUUAAAUAAAUGUAAAGGAAAUUAUUCAUUAAUCAAGCUCAUACAACAAUUUCUUGUUUACAACUACAAAGCCAAGACCCACAACUUAGAUAAUUACACACACACAAUUCAGAUUACACCAAACACAAUAGACAAAGGACUUUCAACAAAAACAGCUGAUCUGCAUGCACUUGUUUAACCAGAUAUGUCAAUUGCCUUGACCUCAGGUUUCUUCUCCUCUUCUUUCGGAACUGUUACAGUGAGCACUCCAUCCUCCAUAGCUGCCUUAAUUUCCCCUGUUUUCGUAUUCUCCGGCAGCCUAAAUCUCCUCAAAAACUUGCCACUGCUCCUCUCCAUACGGUGCCACUGAUCAUUCUUCUCCUCUUGCUCUCUGCUCCUCUCACCGCUUAUCUGUAGUAUCCUUCCUUCUUCAACUUCGACUUUCACUUCCUCUCUCUUGAUCCCCGGAACGUCUACUUUGAAGAUGUGCGCUUGUGGGGUCUCUUUCCAAUCGAUUCUUGCAUUUGCGAAAGCAGAGGUUUCACGAGCAGAGGAGGGGGUGUUGGCGAUUGUGCUUGAAAUUGGGAAGCCUUCGAACGGAUCCCAUAAGUCGAGGGAGAAUGGGUCGAAGAUGUUGCUCCUGCGACCACCGAAGAAGCUUGGAAUCAGAGACAUUUUUUGGGGACUUUGUCGUUUGAAGAAGACAAAAGAUGAACUAUUACAGAGCUUGAAUUUUUCUUUGAUUGUAGCGUUUAAUAAUUUGCUGAUGACCAAUGAGAGAAGAUGUCGUGAUAUUUAUAGGCGAUGAUGAACCAAGAAACUUAAUGUAAUUGGAGUGUAAUCUAGGAUGUUCUCAGAGUAUUCGACGAUAUUCCCCACAAAGCUAUCAAAUUCGAGGCUAAUCUAGGAUGUUCGUCGGUUGAUUUUUGAUAAGAGAAAUAAGAAGCUUCUACACUAUUCCAGAUAUUUUUUCUGAAGGGUCACUGCACAUUUUUGCUCGUGAAGUCAUAAGGUCGAUUGUAUUCGUCUUAAAUUAAAAAUGGAACGAAAGAAAUAUAUAAUGACUUGACGCUCUUACUAUAUUCGGACUUGUUUCGUCAAUUUGGAUCCUUCUAUUCAUUACAUUGCCAAUUCAAUUCUUAAAUUCAACAAAAUCACAUAUGUAAGCAAAUUAAAAUAAAGAGAUUAAUUUUAGAAAAAAUUACAGAAAUUAGUAUCCUUAAGAUUAUAAUUACAAUAAAUAGCAACACUUUUUUAAAAUUAUAACUAGCAAAAGUAGCAAUAUUUUACUUAUUUCAUAGUAAUAGAACAAUAUGUAUUUUUCAAUUGUGCAUAUAUAUUUAUGAGUAAUAUAUAUAUAUUUGUAUAUGUAUUUAUAUAGCAACAUUUUACUUAAAUACAAAUACAAUUUACUAUUUUUCGUAAUUAUAAAACUGUUGCUAUAAAAGUUAUAAUUAAGGUUUAGAGUUACUAUUUCUGAAACACUUCCAUUAUAGGAGCUCUUAGAUUGAGUUGAAAAUCACCAAAACAAUCUGGCAGCUCAUAAUCGAUAUGUCUAUUUCAUUUAAUUCAAUCAUACUUUUAUUAUAUUAUUUUUAAUUAAUUAUUAUAAAUUAUUUAUAUAUUCAAAAUUAAUAAUAUUUAAUGAAAAAAUAAAAUAGACAUAUAUAACAUAUUUGUUUCUUCAAUUGUAAUUUUAUUAUAUCACUCCUAACUAAGUAUUAUAAGUCAUCUAUAUAUUAAAAAAUAAUAAUAUUUUAUAAAAUAUAAAAUAAACAUAAAAUAAUAAAUUAAUGUUUGAUGUUUUAAAUUAAAUUGACGUCUUAUAUUGAAUCCACUUAAAUUUUUUUCACAAGUAUUUAAUUUUUUUUAUAUCAUUUGUAACUAAUUAUUAUAAUAAUUUAAAACAUAUCUAAUUCGCUGCUUUAAUCGUGAUUUUACUAUAUCAUCCCCUAAUUAAUUAUUAUAAAUUAUUUAAGUAUUAAAAAAUUAAUAUAAUUUCAUAGAAAAAGUAAAAUAUACACAAAAUAAAAGUUAACUCUUAAUAUCUUAAAUUAACGUGUCGACUUAAAUAAGAUUCAUUUAAUUUUUUUUAUAAAUAUUUUUUAUAAUAGUUUUUUAUAUUACUUUUAAUUAGUUAUUAUAAUUCAAUUAAAUAUUAAAAAAUAAAUACUAAUAUUUAAUAACUGACACAAAAUAGAUAUAAAAUACUCCCUCCAUUUUAUUUUACGUGUCAUAAUUUGACUAAGGAUGGAGUCUAAAAAAUAAAAAAAGACUAUGAUUUUUUUAUCAAAUUGUCUUCUAUUAAAAAAAAUGUACUACUAGUAUCUUUAAUUAAGUGGAACCUCAUAAGUUGUACCAAUAAAGAUAAAAGUGAAAUUGUAUCUUUAAAUAAUUAUUAAAUAAGAAAAUAUGCAUUCUUUUUUAUAUAGACCCAAAAAAAAAAUAACGAAACAUAAAAUAGGAUGGAAGGAGUAACAAAUUAAAAAUGAUUGAAUGAAGUAUUUUGCAACGGUAAUAUCUGUGUCAAAAACGACUUACUAAUAUCUAAAUGAUUAAAUUUAAACAAAAUAUUAAAUACAUAGUUGCGAAUUAAGAACUGAAUUAUCAAAAUUUAUUUUUUAUUAGACAUAAAUGAAGCAUAAAAUACGUAAAUAAGGGAAUUAAUUUUUUGUUACUAUUUUAUCAUUUCAAUUCACUUGACAACAUUUAAUCAAGCAUGGAGUAGAAAAAUAAAAUGCUUUUGAAAUUCGUAAAUAAAUAAACGUUAAAUUUUUUACGAUCAUAAAAUAUUUUAUCAAAAAAUAAAACAAAAAUUGUAAAAAUAAAUUGUUUCUUCUCAUCACUCACUACAUGCCACUAUUUACUUACAAUAAAUAGAAAUUAUGUUAGGAACACAAAAUAACCGUCCACCAUGAGAAGUCCAACAAGGUACUACAACCAAAUACCGAACAAAUAGUAGUAGUAUUUGUUAUAGCUCUCGAGGCUUGAGCAUUUCUAGCUGAAGCUCCUGGACUCAAAAUCUACCUUCCUAGACCCACAUCCUCAUUUCGCGGUCUCCGAUUUUGUAAUCCAAAUUUAGUUGAUUCGAUUCUGAAAAGAUCGCGGUGCAACUCACGGUUGAAAUUUUUUGAGGGAUCUGUGAUGGUAGUGUAUUAUAGAAGUGCGACUUAAAGGAUUGAUUUUAAUAUAAUAGUUCUCGUGUGUUAUUAAGAACUUUUACUCCUCCCACUCUUCGAUAUAAUGAAUUCCUCCUCCUCUCUAUGAUUUUUCUCAUCAAAGAUUUUCACUUAAAUCUAUGUGUAUUCAUCUUAUUUUUCUUUUGCUUAUCAUAUUGCUUAUUUAUGUUUGAUUUCAUAUUACUUAAUUUGCAUAGUGGCAUGUUCGUAUAUUUUACACGGACCCUUCAUGAGUCUUGAGAUUUGGAUAUCUUCAAACAAACAGACACUGCAAUAGAGAAAAACGGCAAGCUAGUAACGUGACUAUAUGAAAGCAGUAUUAGACCUGCAAGAAAAGUGAAGGAGCUGAUGAUUCCACAAACUUCAUAAAAACAAAGAAAUAAUACUGAAUAGAUUCACUACAUUUGGCCAUGUCAGAGCUGCAGCCAAGUAGAAGUUGUACUAAAUAUGCCCCACAACAACUCACUUGGCUACUAAUUCUGCAAUCCAAAAACCGUCACACAUAUAAAUCCGAUUACCAAAAUCAAAACUUUAACAGGAAAGUAAUCCUAUAGGUUAAGGCUCCUCCAAAGAAGUUCAGAUAAACUUGUUGUCUUUCACAAGAAUAUGUAAUUUAACACAAUAACUUUAAUAUUAAUUCAAGUUUAAAACAAUAACAUUAUAGAGUUAAUCUUUUUAAGAAAUAUAUAUUUUUUCAGAAAUUUAGAUGAAAUAAAAAUAUAAAGCCAAAUCCCCUAACUUCACAGAAGUUCCUUAAAAAAUAAUUCCCUUCAUUUUAUCCAAAAUUUUUUUAGAAUCUUCCUUAAAAUGACUUUCAAUUCACUGUACCCAAAGUUUUAGAAUCUUCCAAUUAUAAUAAUACCUCAGAUAAUUAAAUUCGUCAAACUCAGCGAUUUGAUUGAUCACAACAAAUAUUUUGAAGACAAAAAGUUUGUAUUUCAGAAAAAAAAAAAUUCCUACCAAAAUCUGUUGAUAAAUGCAGAUUUAUAUAAUCAUCAAAUGCCCCUUCCAAAAAAUGAUAAUGAUUCAUCAAACAAUGUGUAUCCUUUAAAAAAUCAUGUCUGUUCAUUCAAAACAUUUUUUUUUAAACAGACACAACUAUCUGAACAAUUAUUCUUUUACAAAAGAAUUGUGUCCCUUUAUUUUUUAUUCACACCAAUUAAACCCAACAAAACCAACAAAACUAAAUUAACAAAGCACCCUUCACCCAAGUAAAUAUUAUCAGCCAAUUUAGAGCCUAAUUUAGAAAAAAAAAAAAAAAAAAAAAAAAGGAAGGUGCUCCUGCGACGCUUCCCUUUAGAUUCGUCCCUUUAGAUCAUUUUAAGGAAGUAAGGACUAAUCAAACUUAUCAACCCAACAAUAUAUAGAUAGGUGUUAACUCCAUAAUAAAAGAACAAGUAGGAUAAUGCAAUUAGAAAGAGUUGGCAACGCAAACAGUGGAGAUGCACCAGCAGAAAGCAUUCCCUUCUUUUCACUGACCUCCCCAGAUAAAUUAUAGAGAUAACAUCAUGUUAAAUAAAUAUCAACACUAGAAAGCUAAAGCCAGAUUACACACCCAAUACAAAGCUACAAAAGAUUUGACAUACUAAUUACACUAAAUAGACCGAUAGAAGACAGCAGACCAAAUGCACCAAGCAUUCCAAACUUCCAAUAGAUGCUUAGGAUGGCAUGGCAUCUAGGUAGACAAAGGCAGCAAAUCAGAAGCACGCUAAAAGCCAGCAAUUGUAGCAUAGAAUAGAUUAUAUUCUCUCUCGACAUACUACUAGAUAAAAUAUCUAUCAAAUUAAAAGAACAGUCCAGCGUACUAGUAAAUAUAUCAACUAUAACUUACAAAAUCAUAAAAGUCGCACAAUAAUUUCAUUGAAGCUUGAUACUUCGUAAGUGAAUGAAAUUAGACAAACAUAUAUCUUUGUUUAUAGAAGAGAAGAGUAUGAAAUGAAGCUCAACACACAAACAUGACAAAGAUCAAUCGAACAACUACAAACAUGUGGAGAGUGAGCAACAACUUUAGUCAAAAACAUACAAAUGCAAGGAAGGAAAAAGAGAAACAACAAUUUAAAAUAAAUGCUAAAAGGAAAUUAUUCAUUAAUCAAACUCUCACAACAUUUUCUUGUUUACAACUCCAAAGCCAAGACCCACAACUUAGACAAUUACACAGACACAUAAUUCAGAUUACACCAAACAUAACUUACUAAGGACUUUAAAACAACAGUUGAUCUGCAUGGACUUGUUUAACCAGAGAUAUCAAUUGCCUUCACCUCAGAUCUCUUCUCCUCUUCUUUAGGAACAGUUACAGUGAGCACUCCAUUCUCCAUAGCUGCUUUAAUUUCCCCCAUCUUCGUAUUCUCCGGCAGCCUAAAUCUCCUCAAAAACUUGCCACUGCUCCUCUCCAUACGGUGCCACUGAUCAUUCUUCUCCUCCUGCUCUCUGCUCCUCUCACCGCUUAUCUGUAAUAUCCUUCCUUCUU
rnacentral:lncRNA from 1 species